rnacentral:rRNA from 1 species
GAUGAACGCUGGCGGCGUGCCUAAUACAUGCAAGUCGAGCGAACAGACGAGGAGCUUGCUCCUCUGACGUUAGCGGCGGACGGGUGAGUAACACGUGGAUAACCUACCUAUAAGACUGGGAUAACUUCGGGAAACCGGAGCUAAUACCGGAUAAUAUAUUGAGCCGCAUGGUUCAACAGUGAAAGACGGUUUUGCUGUCACUUAUAGAUGGAUCCGCGCCGCAUCAGCUAGUUGGUAAGGUAACGGCUUACCAAGGCAACGAUGCGUAGCCGACCUGAGAGGGUGAUCGGCCACACUGGAACUGAGACACGGUCCAGACUCCUACGGGAGGCAGCAGUAGGGAAUCUUCCGCAAUGGGCGAAAGCCUGACGGAGCAACGCCGCGUGAGUGAUGAAGGUCUUCGGAUCGUAAAACUCUGUUAUUAGGGAAGAACAAAUGUGUAAGUAACUAUGCACGUCUUGACGGUACCUAAUCAGAAAGCCACGGCUAACUACGUG